UACGUAGGUGGCAAGCGUUGUCCGGAAUUAUUGGGCGUAAAGCGCGCGCAGGCGGUUCUUUAAGUCUGAUGUGAAAGCCCACGGCUCAACCGUGGAGGGUCAUUGGAAACUGGAGAACUUGAGUACAGAAGAGGAAAGCGGAAUUCCACGUGUAGCGGUGAAAUGCGUAGAGAUGUGGAGGAACACCAGUGGCGAAGGCGCUUUCUGGUCUGUAACUGACGCUGAGGCGCGAAAGCAUGGGGAGCGAACAGG
rnacentral:rRNA from 1 species